CGGAAAACGGAUGGUACCUGACGGCCUUUGGGCCAAUCGACAGGAACGUACCGAUGGUGGCCCGCCCCCGCAUUCGCCCUAUCUCAAGUCGACAGGAAAGCCGAAACACACGCCCAAACCCUAUUCUUCUCCCUCUCCACCGCACUCAGCCACCACCACCACAUCUCCAUGCAACUGUCGCUCUCCCGAAGCUGUGCCGCCGCCACAGGCCUCCCCAAUCCCCGCAUCUCUCUUGUGGUGGUAGGAUGAAGGUGCCGCCGCCGGUGUCCGAGGAGGGCGCGCGCCCCUGCUUCUCCGCGGCGAGCAGCGACGAGGCAUCCGCGUCUCCUCCCAACGCAGGAGCGUCUGCCGGCCUUCUCCUCCUGGCCGAGCAGGUCGCAGUCCCACAUCCAGCCCGUCUCCCCGUCACCAGCCGUCGACGCCGCCACUCCCACCACCGGCGAUGCAGCCGACAGCGUCCCCUGCUCCUUCCUCCCUCCGGCUGCAGAUCUGCAGCAGAUCUGACCCAGCCCGGCCACCACCGCCCCCAUCCAGAGAUCUGGCGUGUGGCGGCCCCCUCCUCGGAGCUCGACGCCACGGUGAGAUCCCGGUGUGGACUCGCAGGAGGCAGCGUCGUCGGCGAUCGUCGCCAUCGUCGUCCUCGAGCUAUGCGGCCUUGCCGUCAUCCCCUAGACGCGCGCUGUCGCCAUGGGUCGUCCCCAUCGCCAUCCCCUCAUGGUCGCGUGACUCGGGUCAUCGUCCUCGUACUCGAGCCGGAGAUACCGAUGUGCCAAUUUUUCCCAUCUUGUUAGGGAUAAGAUUCAGAUUCACAGGGACUUGAUUCAUCAGCAGUUCAGCACCCCCAGUUUUGCUUAUAAGUCAGAUGAUGGAGUAGUCCAAUAUUAUUAAGUUAAAGCUGCAAGCACGCACUGAACAUUGUGAGUAUCUUGAACUACAGAUAUCCCACAUAAAUAGUAUUUGAUGAUCCUUUACUAGUCUGUGGAGAAACUUCUGUUAUAUGUGUGAACUUUGAAGUUAUUUCCAAUGUAUAUAAUAAUCACAUAUAUCAGGAA